GAUAGCACAGGCAGCCCAGCCUACCAGGAGAAAAGUCUAAGAUUCUUCCUUUCAAGCAACUCCGCACACCCAACAUACUCAGCCAGUGUAUAUCAUCAUAGCUCCAUGGCAAUCAAUGUGCCCAGAUCCCCAGCAGAAAUCUGCUGCUAGCUUUGAUGAGGCUGGUGCACAGAGAAGACCCAGUCCAAAUCCAAGCUCCAAACCCUAGGUCCAAGCUCCAGCAUCUGCCAAACAGAAAAUGAGAGGACACAUUUGACUGGGGCUUUGAGAAAGGGAGCAGAAACAACUGUGAAUCCAUAACUGACUUGUUAAGACCUCCCUUAGCAGCCCAACAGACCCUUGGCUUGGAUCGAGCUCUUGUUCUGUGUUACACGUGGUGUACUGAACCUGGGCUGUUGUCACUGAUGGAGUCUGUAUCUACGGAAAACAACCUAGUCUUCUUAAUGAAGUAUUCCAGAUAAGUGACCAGACUGAGGGGCACCUCCUAUCAGACAUUAGCGCAACUGCAGUCUCCGCUAUCCCCAAGUUGAAGAGGACUCCCCACCUGUCCAACAUUAUUCAAUCUAGGCCAAAAGGGACUUCUAUGACUAUCUACUCCGACCUCUUGUGUAGCACAGGCCCUGGGGCUCUCCUGAAUUAACUCCUGCUGGAACUAGAGCAAUCUUUUAAUGCAGGGUUUGUUAAGCAACCUUUUUUCCCCACCCUUAUGAUUCUUGGACAACUCCAGGGCUGGCUACUUUGGCCAUUUCUUAGCAGCAACUCUGCUCCAGAUCUGUUAUUGCCCUGAUCUACAGUAUCUUCUCCCAUCUCACUGUGGAAGAUCUCUCUUCCUGACACACGGCAUGACUGUGAAUGCUUCUGGCUGGUCCUCCAGGGCUAACAAACAACACUUCUCAUGCAGAAUAGACAGCUGAGGGAGUUGGCAGACAGGCAGUGAAGCCUUCUCAGAAUUCAUCGCUCCCCAGGUGAAGCCCCUCAGAAGGAACCAUAGCGUUAAUCUGGGAGGCCUGCAUUUGGGAAGGCAGGAAAUCACCACUCAGACUUUCCAAGGGAAUCGUUUCCAAUCUACAGCUUGAUCCGAAGUCCACUGAAAUCAACAAAAAGGCUCCCGCGGACUUCAGUGAGCGUUGGAUUCAGGCCUGUAGUGAAGUACAGUAAGAGCCUUAAUGCAGCCUAGUUCAUCCUCCUGUCACGUGCUCCUGCAGUGCUGUAGCCAGCCUGCAGGCAAAGGCAGCGGUUUCCCUAUGAAGCACUGUUGCAAGGAGAAUGCUAGGACGGAGCAGGAAUUCACAGCUUUUCUUAUGAAGCGGAUGCUGGAGCUUUCAGGAACUUCUCAGGCUCUCCAUGCUUUUCCUAUGGCACUGGGAGCCCUCGAGGUGGGACCCAGCAGAACUGCACCAGCCCCUCUGCGCAAGGGGCUGUCCAUACCUACAGAAGGAGAGCCAGCUUUGCCGCAUACCAAUUGGACAAGUCUAUAUGGCUUGUGGUCCACAGUUUGGCU